GGGUUGUGAGGUUAAGCGACUAAGCGUACACGGUGGAUGCCCUGGCAGUCAGAGGCGAUGAAGGACGUGCUAAUCUGCGAAAAGCGUCGGUAAGGUGAUAUGAACCGUUAUAACCGGCGAUGUCCGAAUGGGGAAACCCAGUGCAAUUCGUUGCACUAUCGUUAACUGAAUACAUAGGUUAACGAGGCGAACCGGGGGAACUGAAACAUCUAAGUACCCCGAGGAAAAGAAAUCAACCGAGAUUCCCCCAGUAGCGGCGAGCGAACGGGGAGCAGCCCAGAGUCUGAAUCAGCUUGUGUGUUAGUGGAACGGUCUGGAAAGUCCGACGGUACAGGGUGAUAGUCCCGUACACCAAAAUGCACAGGUUGUGAACUCGAAGAGUAGGGCGGGACACGUGGUAUCCUGUCUGAAUAUGGGGGGACCAUCCUCCAAGGCUAAAUACUCCUGACUGACCGAUAGUGAACCAGUACCGUGAGGGAAAGGCGAAAAGAACCCCGGCGAGGGGAGUGAAAAAGAACCUGAAACCGUGUACGUACAAGCAGUGGGAGCACCUUCGGGUGUGACUGCGUACCUUUUGUAUAAUGGGUCAGCGACUUAUAUUCUGUAGCAAGGUUAACCGUAUAGGGGAGCCGCAGGGAAACCGAGUCUUAACUGGGCGUUAAGUUGCAGGGUAUAGACCCGAAACCCGGUGAUCUAGCCAUGGGCAGGUUGAAGGUUGGGUAACACUAACUGGAGGACCGAACCGACUAAUGUUGAAAAAUUAGCGGAUGACUUGUGGCUGGGGGUGAAAGGCCAAUCAAACCGGGAGAUAGCUGGUUCUCCCCGAAAGCUAUUUAGGUAGCGCCUCGUGAACUCAUCUUCGGGGGUAGAGCACUGUUUCGGCUAGGGGGUCAUCCCGACUUACCAACCCGAUGCAAACUACGAAUACCGAAGAAUGUUAUCACGGGAGACACACGGCGGGUGCUAACGUCCGUCGUGAAGAGGGAAACAACCCAGACCGCCAGCUAAGGUCCCAAAGUCAUGGUUAAGUGGGAAACGAUGUGGGAAGGCACAGACAGCCAGGAUGUUGGCUUAGAAGCAGCCAUCAUUUAAAGAAAGCGUAAUAGCUCACUGGUCGAGUCGGCCUGCGCGGAAGAUGUAACGGGGCUAAACCAUGCACCGAAGCUGCGGCAGCGACACUAUGUGUUGUUGGGUAGGGGAGCGUUCUGUAAGCCUGCGAAGGUGUGCUGUGAGGCAUGCUGGAGGUAUCAGAAGUGCGAAUGCUGACAUAAGUAACGAUAAAGCGGGUGAAAAGCCCGCUCGCCGGAAGACCAAGGGUUCCUGUCCAACGUUAAUCGGGGCAGGGUGAGUCGACCCCUAAGGCGAGGCCGAAAGGCGUAGUCGAUGGGAAACAGGUUAAUAUUCCUGUACUUGGUGUUACUGCGAAGGGGGGACGGAGAAGGCUAUGUUAGCCGGGCGACGGUUGUCCCGGUUUAAGCAUGUAGGCUGGUUGUCCAGGCAAAUCCGGAUAAUCAAGGCUGAGGUGUGAUGACGAGGCACUACGGUGCUGAAGUAACAAAUGCCCUGCUUCCAGGAAAAGCCUCUAAGCAUCAGGUAACAUCAAAUCGUACCCCAAACCGACACAGGUGGUCAGGUAGAGAAUACCAAGGCGCUUGAGAGAACUCGGGUGAAGGAACUAGGCAAAAUGGUGCCGUAACUUCGGGAGAAGGCACGCUGGUGUGUAGGUGAAGUCCCUGCGGAUGGAGCUGAGACCAGUCGAAGAUACCAGCUGGCUGCAACUGUUUAUUAAAAACACAGCACUGUGCAAACACGAAAGUGGACGUAUACGGUGUGACGCCUGCCCGGUGCCGGAAGGUUAAUUGAUGGGGUUAUCCGUAAGGAGAAGCUCUUGAUCGAAGCCCCGGUAAACGGCGGCCGUAACUAUAACGGUCCUAAGGUAGCGAAAUUCCUUGUCGGGUAAGUUCCGACCUGCACGAAUGGCGUAAUGAUGGCCAGGCUGUCUCCACCCGAGACUCAGUGAAAUUGAACUCGCUGUGAAGAUGCAGUGUACCCGCGGCAAGACGGAAAGACCCCGUGAACCUUUACUAUAGCUUGACACUGAACAUUGAGCCUUGAUGUGUAGGAUAGGUGGGAGGCUUUGAAGCGUGGACGCCAGUCUGCGUGGAGCCAACCUUGAAAUACCACCCUUUAAUGUUUGAUGUUCUAACGUUGGCCCCUGACCGGGGUUGCGGACAGUGUCUGGUGGGUAGUUUGACUGGGGCGGUCUCCUCCCAAAGCGUAACGGAGGAGCACGAAGGUUAGCUAAUCCUGGUCGGACAUCAGGAGGUUAGUGCAAUGGCAUAAGCUAGCUUGACUGCGAGCGUGACGGCGCGAGCAGGUGCGAAAGCAGGUCAUAGUGAUCCGGUGGUUCUGAAUGGAAGGGCCAUCGCUCAACGGAUAAAAGGUACUCCGGGGAUAACAGGCUGAUACCGCCCAAGAGUUCAUAUCGACGGCGGUGUUUGGCACCUCGAUGUCGGCUCAUCACAUCCUGGGGCUGAAGUAGGUCCCAAGGGUAUGGCUGUUCGCCAUUUAAAGUGGUACGCGAGCUGGGUUUAGAACGUCGUGAGACAGUUCGGUCCCUAUCUGCCGUGGGCGCUGGAGAAUUGAGGGGGGCUGCUCCUAGUACGAGAGGACCGGAGUGGACGCAUCACUGGUGUUCGGGUUGUCAUGCCAAUGGCACUGCCCGGUAGCUAAAUGCGGAAGAGAUAAGUGCUGAAAGCAUCUAAGCACGAAACUUGCCCCGAGAUGAGUUCUCCCUGAGACUAUAAGUCUCCUGAAGGAACGUUAAAGACGAUGACGUUGAUAGGCCGGGUGUGUAAGCGCAGCGAUGCGUUGAGCUAACCGGUACUAAUGAACCGUGAGGCUUAACCUUACAACGCCGAAG
rnacentral:rRNA from 1 species